AAUGUUGACAGUCCCACAGGUUCCCAGAGAGCAAACCUUCCAGUCCUUCUGUGUUUCCUGCCACAGCUCUGUACCUGGCUCGCUGCUUGGUGCACAGGCAGCAUGUGCUGUCUUCAGGACCUGCUUCCUCAGGAGAGUUUCUCCUGGGUUAACCUUACCCAGGCUGUCUCCCUUGGAAGCCCUUGAGGGUAUAGACACUGGUGAGGGACAGGCUUUGGAACUCUCCCAAGAGAGUGAAUCUUCUGAGCUUCAGAACUGCUGGGCUUGGGGGAGUGGCUCAGCAGGUGAAGGUGCUCACAGCAUCCAAGUCAGACACACGUGACGACGGAAGGCGUACAAACUUCUCAGAAUAUUGUCCUUUGGCCUCCACAGCCACAGUGGGAAGUGUGUACACCACACACAUACACAAAACAAAUAAAUGGAAAUUAAAAGUA
rnacentral:lncRNA from 1 species